CCUACGGGUGGCAGCAGUAGGGAAUAUUUGACAAUGGGCGCAAGCCUGACCCAGCAACGCCGCGUGAAGGAAGAAGGCUUUCGGGUUGUAAACUUCUUUUGUCAGGGAAGAGUAGAAGACGGUACCUGACGAAUAAGCCACGGCUAACUACGUGCGAGCAGCCGCGGUAAUACGUAGGUGGCAAGCUUUGUCCAGAUUUACUGGGUGUAGAGGGCGGGUAGCCGGGUUGACAAGUCAGAUGUGAAAUCCUGCGGCUUAACCGCAGAACUGCAUUUGAAACUGUUGAUCUUGAGUACUGGAGAGGCAGCCGGAAUUCCUAGUGUAGCGGUGAAAUGCGUAGAUAUUAGGAGGAACACCAGUGGCGAAGGCGGUCUGCUGGACAGCAACUGACGGUGAGGCGCGAAAGCGUGGGGAGCAAACAGGAUUAGAUACCCUGGUAGUC
rnacentral:rRNA from 1 species